rnacentral:rRNA from 1 species
GCCGGUUCUAUCUAGAGUCGUUAGCCUAACCGCAAGGAGGGCGGCGCCUAGGGUAGUGUGGUGACUGGGGCUAAGUCGUAACAAGGUAACCGUAGGUGAACCUGCAGAAGGAUCA